CCCAAACUGUGCUGCUGGAAGAAGCAAGAUGGGGCAACUAUUCUACGGUUCCAUUCACCAAAGCUCAGCUAUGUGUACUUAUAUGUCUCCAGAUGAUCCAAAUAUAAGAGGUAACCUUUUGAGGGAAUGGGACAAAUGUGGACCAGCACCAUGAUCCUUCUURUCCUUCCAGGAUAAUAACUACAGGUUUGUGGACAGGAUCCCGGACAACCGGCAGGACAAAGCAGACAAAGUUGUCAGAAGAAAAGUGACACAAAGAUGAAGCACAAGUCCAGAAAAUAACAUGAACAGGUGGUGUUGGCAAGGAGGCACAAACAGCUUGGAUCAACCAGGAAGUCAAAUAAAGAGAAUAAACAUAGUGUGAAAAUGUAACUUUAUAUACAUUGCAUGUAAAACGAUAACGUUCAUAAGUGUUUGACCUGAUAAACGUUGAGUAAAUUCAGAGCAUCCAGUAAGUGGUGGUCAGUCUGUGUUCAAUCCAAAGGAUCUUUUCAAGUUUUCUAGAUAAAUCUGCUCCUCCUGGAAGAAUUCCCGGUCCUGUAGACGAGAAACUUGAGUUAAUGCUGCAGACGUUCUAAAACCUUUUGAUCUUUCAUAUUUUUUGUUGUAUUAUGCUCUUCAUAUGUACAAUAAAAAGCCUAAUGGAAAAAUUGCA